rnacentral:rRNA from 1 species
GGACUACCCGGGUUUCUAAUCCUGUUCGCUCCCCUGGCUUUCGCACCUGAGCGUCAGUAACCAUCCAGGACACUGCCUUCGCCUUUGGUAUUCCUCCGGAUAUCUACGCAUUUCACCACUCCACCCGGAAUUCUAUGUCCCUCUCUGGUCCUCAAGUUCAGCAGUUUUUGAAGACCUUGCUCAGUUGAGCCGAGCACUGUCACUCCAAACUUGCCAAACCGCCUGCGUGCGCUUUACGCCCAGUAACUCCGGACAACGCUUGCCCCCUACGUAUUACCGCGGCUGCUGGCAC